rnacentral:rRNA from 1 species
CCCUUAGAUGUUCUGGGCCGCACGCGCGCUACACUGAUGCAUUCAACGAGUCUAAAACCUGCUCUGAUAGGGGUGGGUAAUCUUUUGAAUGUGCAUCGUGAUUGGGAUAGUUGAUUGCAAUUUUUCAUCUUCAACGAGGAAUGCCUAGUAAACGCAAGUCAUCAGCUUGCAUUGAUUACGUCCCUGCCCUUUGUACACACCGCCCGUCGCUCCUACCGAUUGAAUGAUCCGAUGAAUAUCAUGGAUUGAGGAUGUAAGCAGGUUCGCCUGUCUUCAUCUUCGAGAAGUGAAGUAAAUCUUAUCAUUUAGAGGAAGGAGAAGUCGUAACA